rnacentral:rRNA from 1 species
UACGUAGGGGGCAAGCGUUGUCCGGAAUUAUUGGGCGUAAAGAGCGUGUAGGCGGUCCGGUAAGUCAGCUGUGAAAGUCAAGGGCUCAACCUUUGAAAGCCGGUGGAUACUGUCUAGCUAGAGUCCGGAAGAGGCGAGUGGAAUUCCUGGUGUAGCGGUGGAAUGCGCAGAUAUCAGGAGGAACACCAACGGCGAAGGCAGCUCGCUGGGACGGUACUGACGCUAAGGCGCGAAAGCUAGGGGAGCGAACAGG